UGGUAGUCCACGCUGUAAACGAUGUCGAUUUGUAGGUUGUGGUUAUAAACUGUGGCUUGCGGAGCAAACGCGUUAAAUCGACCGCCUGGGGAGUACGGCCGCAAGGUUAAAACUCAAAUGAAUUGACGGGGGCCCGCACAAGCGGUGGAGCAUGUGGUUUAAUUCGAUGCAACGCGAAGAACCUUACCUACUCUUGACAUCCAGAGGAGUCGACAGAGAUGUUGACGUGCCCUUCGGGAGCUUUGAGACAGGUGCUGCAUGGCUGUCGUCAGCUCGUGUUGUGAAAUGUUGGGUUAAGUCCCGCAACGAGCGCAACCCUUAUCUUUUGUUGCCAGCACGUAGAGGUGGGAACUCAAGAGAGACUGCCGGUGAUAAACCGGAGGAAGGUGGGGAUGACGUCAAGUCAUCAUGGCCCUUACGAGUAGGGCUACACACGUGCUACAAUGGCGUAUACAAAGAGAAGCGAGCCUGCGAGGGUGAGCGGACCUCAUAAAGUACGUCGUAGUCCGGAUUGGAGUCUGCAACUCGACUCCAUGAAGUCGGAAUCGCUAGU
rnacentral:rRNA from 1 species